UACGUAGGUGGCGAGCGUUGUCCGGAAUUACUGGGUGUAAAGGGCGUGUAGGCGGGGAAACAAGUCAGAUGUGAAAUUCUGGGGCUCAACCCCAGCGCUGCAUCUGAAACUGUAUCUCUUGAGUGCUGGAGAGGAAAGCGGAAUUCCUAGUGUAGCGGUGAAAUGCGUAGAUAUUAGGAGGAACACCAGUGGCGAAGGCGGCUUUCUGGACAGUAACUGACGCUGAGGCGCGAAAGCGUGGGGAGCAAACAGG
rnacentral:rRNA from 2 species